GUCCCCGUAGCUCAGCCGGAUAGAGCACAAGAUUCCUAAUCUUGGGGCCGUGAGUUCGAAUCUCGCCGGGGACACCA
rnacentral:tRNA from 1 species